rnacentral:rRNA from 1 species
ACCUCGACACUAGGAGGCAGCAGUGGGGAAUAUUGCACAAUGGGGGAAACCCUGAUGCAGCGACGCCGCGUGGAGGAAGAAGGUCUUCGGAUUGUAAACUCCUGUUGUUGGGGAAAAAGAGGAUGGUACCCAACAAGGAAGUGACGGCUAACUACGUACCAGCAGCCGCGGUAAUCUGAGCGGGCUGGCAAGGC